rnacentral:rRNA from 1 species
AUGGCAUACCGGCAGCUCCGCGCGCCGAAGCAGGCAUCCACGACCGGCGGCGCCAAGGUGCCGCAGGGGCACGUGCCGGUCUGCAUCGGCGAGGAGGGCGGGCCCGUGGAACGGUUCGCCAUGCGCGCGGACCUGCUGGGCCGGCCGGCCUUCGCGGCGCUGCUCCUGUGCGCCUCCCAGGAGUACGGGUACGGCCACCCCGGCGCGCUCCGCAUCCCCUGCCCCGUCGCCGACUUCCGCGGCCUCCUCGUCCGCCUCUCCGACUUCCCCUACGCCGACGAGUGCUAG